CACAGGUCCAAAGGAGAAAGACCAAACACUAAUGGACUGGGACCUCCAAGAGUUGUAUGAUAAUGAAUUACCAGUGAACAAAACUACUAUUACGGAGACCAGCAUUUUCUUGGAAAAGAGUCCUUACUCUCACCAUUGGUCCUGAAAAUUAUUUUACUUCAAGAGGACAUUUCAGCAUGUUCCUGACCACAGGCUCCUAAAAAUAUUACUGAUAUAAUAAGACUACCAAAUUUCAUAGGUUUAUUUCUAUCUCCUCUGAAGGAACAUAUGACUUAUGAAGGCCUCCAAAAUGAUACACUUGUUCAUUUCAAGAAGUGGGAUUAAACAUGGUCACACAUUUGAAUGAUGGGAUAUUUUCUUCUACUGGAACUUGGAAUGAUCUGUGACUUAAAGAAUAUGGUAAAAGUGAGACACUGACAGUUUGGGUUCUAGGUUUUAGGAGGAAGUUUGUCAAUUUCCACCUGGGUCUCAUGGAGCAUCAGAUCCAUCAUCAUUUCAACAACAACAACUGUCUGCAGUCUCAAGAAUCUGAAUUUCUCCUCUUCCAGAAUCAGUCUCAGCACACUUUCUUAAUAGAACCUGAGGAUGCAGUUACCCUAUGCCAUCUCCUCAUUGCACCAACCCUAGAGGGACCCUGUCCAAACUCCAGAGUUGUUUUACAAAUUUCCUUCAAGCCAUUCAAAAAUGAAAUAAAUGAUGCUUACAGAUAAA